rnacentral:rRNA from 1 species
GACGGGGGGGGCAAGUGUUCUUCGGAAUGACUGGGCGUAAAGGGCACGUAGGCGGUGAAUCGGGUUGAAAGUGAAAGUCGCCAAAAAGUGGCGGAAUGCUCUCGAAACCAAUUCACUUGAGUGAGACAGAGGAGAGUGGAAUUUCGUGUGUAGGGGUGAAAUCCGUAAAUAUACGAAGGAACGCCAAAAGCGAAGGCAGCUCUCUGGGUCCCUACCGACGCUGGUGUGCGAAAGCAUGGGGAGCGAACAGG